AGUGAACGCUGGCGGUAGGCCUAACACAUGCAAGUCGCACGGCAGCACAGUAAGAGCUUGCUCUUACGGGUGGCGAGUGGCGGACGGGUGAGGAAUACAUCGGAAGCUACUUUUUCGUGGGGGAUAACGUAGGGAAACUUACGCUAAUACCGCAUACGACCUACGGGUGAAAGCAGGGGAUCUUCGGACCUUGCGCGAUUGAAUGAGCCGAUGUCGGAUUAGCUAGUUGGCGGGGUAAAGGCCCACCAAGGCGACGAUCCGUAGCUGGUCUGAGAGGAUGAUCAGCCACACUGGAACUGAGACACGGUCCAGACUCCUACGGGAGGCAGCAGUGGGGAAUAUUGGACAAUGGGCGCAAGCCUGAUCCAGCCAUACCGCGUGGGUGAAGAAGGCCUUCGGGUUGUAAAGCCCUUUUGUUGGGAAAGAAAAGCAGCAGGUUAAUACCCCGCUGUUCUGACGGUACCCAAAGAAUAAGCACCGGCUAACUUCGUG
rnacentral:rRNA from 1 species